GGGGACGCUAGGCGUUCGACAGAAGUUUAGAUUCAAUUUGUUUCAAAUCGAGUUCAUCUCGUUAACUGAACACAGAUAAGUGUAACAAAUCGUUUAAACGCUUUUGUAAGUGGUUUAGUUGAUACAGUAAAGGUUGCUUUUGCAGCUCCUGUUUAUGCUUACCAAUUUGCAUAAGUCUAACUUAUUGAUUUAGGUUAGUGUUUUUAUUACUUGCUCCUAUACAGGUUUUAAUAAACAGUCGUUUGUAGGAUAUAGGUAUAUUCUUAAUUUAGAAGAGGGUAUACUUGAAACUAAGUUCUAAGCAUAUAUACUUUUUUGUUAAUCUUUUAGGUAUAUGUGUCUAUACAAGGUUAACUAUGUUUGUAUAGAACGAUUGAUGAUGCUUUUGGACGUGGGUUCAAUUCCCACCGUCUCCACCA
rnacentral:tmRNA from 1 species